rnacentral:lncRNA from 1 species
AUUAAUUUAAUCCAAGGUUAGAAUGGUAAUUUAUUUAUUUAAUCUAAGUUUUAAUCUAAAUUGCCAAACAACUAAUUCAUAUAUCUAUAUUUUAUCCAAAAAAAAUAAUCAUAUAUCUACUAAGUUACGAUACUAACGUCGCUCUAUUUGUGAUACAUAUCAUGAAUUUUAUCUAUUUUGACUUAUCUCAACAAGGCUAUCAAAC